rnacentral:rRNA from 1 species
CUAACAAGGAUUCCCCUAGUAACUGCGAGUGAAGCGGGAAAAGCUCAAAUUUGAAAUCUGGCAGUCUUUUUUUUCUUCUUUGGCUGUCCGAGUUGUAAUCUAGAGAAGUGCUUACCUGCACUGGACCAUGUAUAAGUCUCCUGGAAUGGAGCGUCGCAGAGGGUGAGAAUCCCGUCUUUGACAUGGACUGCCAGUGUGUUGUGGUGUGCUCUCAAAGAGUCGAGUUGUUUGGGAAUGCAGCUCUAAAUGGGUGGUAAACUCCAUCUAAAGCUAAAUAUUGGCGAGAGACCGAUAGUGAACAAGUACCGUGAGGGAAAGAUGAAAAGGACUUUGGAAAGAGAGUUAAACAGUAUGUGAAAUUGUUGAAAGGGAAACGCUUGAAGUCAGUUAUGUUGGCUAGGGAUCAACCUAGCUGUUUUUUGCUGGGUGAACUUCCUAGUCUGACAGGCCAACAUCAGUUUUGACUGCUGGAAAAGAGCAGGGGGAAUGUGGCACCUUUGGGUGUGUUAUAGCCCUUUGUCAUAUGUGGCAGUUGGGACUGAGGGAUGCAGCAUGCCGCGAGGCUGGGUUUCUGACCACGUUCAUGCUUAGGAUGUUGGCUUUUAAUGGCUUCAAUCGACCCGUCUUGAAACACGGACCAAGGAGUCUAACAUGCCUGCGAGUGUUUGGGUGGGGAAAACCCUUGUGCACAAUGAAAGUGAAAGUUGAGAUCCCUGUCAUGGGGAGCAUCGACGCCCGGACCUGAGCUUUUAGCGACGGAUCCGCGGUAGAGCAUGCAUGUUGGGACCCGAAAGAUGGUGAACUAUGCCUGAAUAGGGCAAAGCCAGAGGAAACUCUGGUGGAGGCUCGUAGCGAUUCUGACGUGCAAAUCGAUCGUCAAAUUUGGGUAUAGGGGCGAAAGACUAAUCG